rnacentral:rRNA from 1 species
UACGGAGGAUCCAAGCGUUGUCCGGAUUUAUUGGGUUUAAAGGGUGCGUAGGUGGAUAAUUAAGUCAGGGGUGAAAGCCUGCAGCUCAACUGUAGAACUGCCCUUGAAACUGAUUAUCUUGAGUGUGGUUGAGGUAGGCGGAAUGUGUCAUGUAGCGGUGAAAUGCUUAGAUAUGAUACAGAACACCAAUUGCGAAGGCAGCUUACUAAACCAUUACUGACACUGAGGCACGAAAGCAUGGGGAGCAAACAGGAUUAGAUACCCUGGUAGUCCAUGCCCUAAACGUUGAUAACUCGUUGUUGGCGAUAUACAGUCAGCGACUAAGCGAAAGCGUUAAGUUAUCCACCUGGGGAGUACGUCCGCAAGGAUGAA